GAUGAACGCUGGCGGCGUGCCUAAUGCAUGCAAGUCGAGCGAACGGACGAGAAGCUUGCUUCUCUGAUGUUAGCGGCGGACGGGUGAGUAACACGUGGAUAACCUACCUAUAAGACUGGGAUAACUUCGGGAAACCGGAGCUAAUACCGGAUGAUAUUUUGAACCGCAUGAUUCAAAAGUGAAAGACGGUCUUGCUGUCACUUAUAGAUGGAUCCGCGCUGCAUUAGCUAGUUGGUAAGGUAACGGCUUACCAAGGCAACGAUGCAUAGCCGACCUGAGAGGGUGAUCGGCCACACUGGAACUGAGACACGGUCCAGACUCCUACGGGAGGCAGCAGUAGGGAAUCUUCCGCAAUGGGCGAAAGCCUGACGGAGCAACGCCGCGUGAGUGAUGAAGGUCUUCGGAUCGUAAAACUCUGUUAUUAGGGAAGAACAUAUGUGUAAGUAACUGUGCACAUCUUGACGGUACCUAAUCAGAAAGCCACGGCUAACUACGUG
rnacentral:rRNA from 1 species